UUGUCAAAUAUGAUUUCAGUUACACAACACCUUCAAAUCUCACGAGUAUACAUGGUUCAAACCUUUUCGAACUUACGUCAACUUAGGAUAUCUCUACAAAUUUACGUCCAACAUUCUCGAACAUGGAAACCCUUACAAAUUUACGCCAUGAAACUGGGAAACCUUUACAAAUUUACACAUAAAAUCUGAAAAUUCUUACAAAUUUACGUCACAAAAUCUGGAAAUUUGGAAAUCCUUACAAAUUUUCUUACAAAUUUACGUCACAUAAUCUGGAAUUUGGAAAUCCUUACAAAUUUACGCCUUGAAACAGAGAAAUCUCAACAAAUUUACACCCUGAAAACUGUAAACCCUUUGAAAUUAUAUUUUACAAAUCGACUUCAAUUUCUCUAUCAAGAAAAAAUCAAACGAUGGAAUGAACCAAUGUUCAUUAAAGAAGGAUUUACUUCUCAAAUUACUAGAUUAUAGAAUAAGAAAUAGUUUAAACUACAAUGAGGAAAUAACCAAAAGAAUUCACAGAGAAAUCUCAAAACUAACAGAGAACAAAUGAAGAAUCAUAAGAUAACAUAUUUAACACAAAUCACAUGAAUGAUCCAUACAUGUUUGCUUUCAUUUCACAAGAUUCUUCACGACCUUUGAGCUCCAUAUGAUUUCCACUACUGAUCGCAACUUCUAUUUCCCACCCUCCACGCAUUCAUCACUUCUUAACCCUUCUUUUACUAUAUCAAAUUUACGCCAUGAAAUAGGGAGAUCCAUAUAUAUUUUUCUUUCUUGUGAAAAGAUUCUUCACUGCCUUUAAACUCCAGAUGAUCUCCACUGUUGAUCGUAACUUCUAUUCUCCACCCUCCACGUGUCCAUCACUUCUUAACCCUUCUUUUUCUAUAUCAAUUUACGGCAUGAAAUAAUGAGAUCCAUAUAUUUUUUUCUUUCUUUCACAAGAUUCUUCACUGCCUUUGAGCUCCAGAUGAUCUCCACUGUUGAUCGUAACUUCUAUUCUCCACCCUCCACGUGUCCAUCACCUCUUAACCCUUAUUUUUCUAUAUCAAUUUACGCCAUGAAAUAGGGAGAUCUAUAUGUUUUUUUUUCUUUCAUUCACAAGAUUCUUCACUGCCUUUGAGCUCCAUAUGAUCUCCACUGUUGAUCGUAACUUCUAUUCUCCACCCUCCACGUGUCCAUCACUUCUUAACCCUUAUUUUUCUAUAUCAAUUUACGCCAUGAAAUACGGAGAUCCAUAUACUUUUUUUUCUUUCACAAGAUUUUUCACUGCUUUUGAGCUACAGAUGAUCUCCACUGUUGAUCGUAACUUCUAUUCUCCACCCUCCACGUGUCCAUUACUUCUUAACCCUUAUUUUUCUAUAUCAAUUUACGCCAUGAAAUAGGGAGAUCCAUAUAUUUUUUCUUUCUUUCACAAGAUUCUUCACUGCCUUUGAGCUCCAUAUGAUCUCGACUAUUGAUCGUAACUUCUAUUCUCCACCCUCCACCCUCCACGUGUCCUUUACUUCUUAACCCUUAUUUUUCUAUAUCAAUUUACGCCAUGAAAUAGGGAGAUCCAUAUAUUUUUUUCUUUCUUUCACAAGAUUCUUCACUAUCUGUGAGCUCCAGAUGAUCUCCACUAUUAAUCGUAACUUCUAUUUUCCACCCUCCACGUGUCCAUCACUUCUUAACCCUUCUUUUUCUAUAUCAAUUUAUGCCAUGAAAUAAGGAGAUCCAUAUAUAUUUUUUCUUUUUUUCACAAAAUUCUUCACUGCAUUUGAGCUUUAGAUGAUCUCCACUGUUGAUCGUAACUUCUAUUCUCCACCCUCCACGUGUCCAUCACCUCUUAACCCUUAUUUUUCUAUUUCAAUUUACGCCAUGAAAUAAAGAGAUCCAUAUGUUUUUUUCUUUCUUUCACAAGAUUCUUUACUGCCUUUGAGCUUCAGAUGAUCUCCACUGUUGAUCGUAACUUCUAUUCUCCACCCUCCACGUGUCCAUCACUUCUUAACCCUUAUUUUUCUAUAUCAAUUUACGCCAUGAAAUAUGGAGAUCCAUAUACUUUUUUUCUUUCUUUCACAAGAUUCUUCACUGCUUUUGAGCUCCAGAUGAUCUCCACUGUUGAUCGUAACUUCUAUUCUCCACCCUCCACGUGUCCAUCACCUCUUAACCCUUAUUUUCAAUAUAAAUUUACGCCAUGAAAUAGGGAGAUCCAUAUAUAUAUUUUUUUCUUUCACAAGAUUUUUCACUGCCUUUGAGCUCCAUAUGAUCUCCACUAUUGAUCGUAACUUCUAUUCUCCACCCUCCACGUGACCAUUACUUCUUAACCCUUAUUUUUCUAUAUCAAUUUACGCCAUGAAAU
rnacentral:lncRNA from 1 species